UGUGUGUGUGUGUGUGUGUGUGUGUGUGUGUGUGUGUGUGUGUGAAAUCUGUUGUAAUUAUUUUACAUUUUUCUCUGCAUAGCUGUCUCCUUCACCUAUAUUAGUUUAUCUGUCUUUCUGGUCACAACAGAAAUUCAAGACGUUUGGGUCCUCAGCUCAACUGACCAAGACCUUUGCUCAUUGAAGGCAUGAAGUAAUUUGUGAUGCCCCCACGAUUGCAGUUUUUAAAUCCAGAUGGCUUGCUCUUUUUAACAUGUGCGAGAGCUGGAUGGUCUUUCAACAACACUGCUCCGGGUCUUCAGCAAGAAAGGUGCUUCUCAUGCAAGGAAGAUACAGAGGAUCCUGGUGCCCAUGACUCAGACUGACAACAUUGAUGUGAAGAGGGAGUGCAUGCUGAGGAGCUGACGGUCUACCUGAAUGAAGAGCCAGACAAAGUGGAUGUUGAUCUGGACGGUCCAGCUGAAACGUAUUGUCUUCGUGUGCGUGUGAUCGGCAGAG